rnacentral:rRNA from 1 species
CCUACGGGAGGCAGCAGUGAGGAAUAUUGGUCAAUGGGCGGAAGCCUGAACCAGCCAAGCCGCGUGAGGGAUGAAGGUACAGAGUAUCGUAAACCUCUUUUGUCAGGGAACAAAGGCGGGGACGCGUCCCCGGAUGAGUGUACCUGAAGAAAAAGCAUCGGCUAACUCCGUGCCAGCAGCCGCGGUAAUACGGAGGAUGCGAGCGUUAUCCGGAUUUAUUGGGUUUAAAGGGUGCGCAGGCGGUCUGUUAAGUCAGCGGUCAAAGCCCGGGGCUCAACCCCGGCCCGCCGUUGAAACUGGCAGUCUCGAGUUGGAGAGAAGUAUGCGGAAUGCGCGGUGUAGCGGUGAAAUGCAUAGAUAUCGCGCAGAACUCCGAUUGCGAAGGCAGCAUGCCGGCUCCACACUGACGCUGAGGCACGAAAGCGUGGGUAUCGAACAGGAUUAGAUACCCGAGUAGUC